rnacentral:rRNA from 2 species
GGCGCGCCUAACACAUGCAAGUCGAACGAGAAAGCCCCCUUCGGGGGGCGAGUACAGUGGCGAACGGGUGAGUAACACGUGGGUUACCUGCCCUUGAGUGGGGAAUAACCCCGGGAAACUGGGGCUAAUACCGCAUACGACCCUUCGGGGUGAAAGCUUUAUGCGCUCGAGGAUGGGCCCGCGGUCGAUUAGCUUGUUGGUGGGGUAAUGGCCUACCAAGGCUUCGAUCGAUAGCCGGCCUGAGAGGGCACACGGCCACACUGGCACUGAGACACGGGCCAGACUCCUACGGGAGGCAGCAGUGGGGAAUUUUGGACAAUGGGGGCAACCCUGAUCCAGCGACGCCGCGUGAUCGAUGAAGGCCUUCGGGUCGUAAAGAUCUUUCAGCGGGAAAUAUGAUGAAGGUACCCGCAGAAGCAGGAGCGGCUAACUACGUGCCAGCAGCCGCGGUAAUAC